AUACUUACCUAGCAGGGUGGAUACCAUGAUCACAAAGAUGGUUUCCCCAGUGCGAGGCUUAUCCAGUGCACUCCAGAUGUGCUGACCCCUGCAAUUUCCCCAAAUGUGGGAAACUCAACUGCAUAAUUUGAGUUGGUUGGGGACUGCAUUCGCACUCUCCCCUG